AGAGUUUGAUCCUGGCUCAGGAUGAACGCUGGCGGCGUGGAUAGGGCAUGCAAGUCAAGGGGGUCGCAAGACAACCGGCAGACGAGAUAGUAAUAAGUAGGUACGAACCUCAGAGUCAGGAAUAGCUCGUCGAAAGACGGGGUAAUACUUGAUGGUCCCGCAAGGGUAAGGAUUUAUCGCUUUGAGAUCGGCCCGCUCGGUAUCAGUUAGUUGGUAAGGUAAUGGCUUACCAAGGCAAUGACGCCUAAGGGGGGUGAGAGCCUGUUCCCCAUCGAUGGAACUGAGAUACGGUCCAUACUCCUACGGGAGGCUGCAGUCGAGAAUAUUCGACAAUGGGCGAAAGCCUGAUCGAGCGACGCCGCGUGCAGGAUGAAGUGCUUCGGUAUGUAAACUGCUUUUGUAGACUAGAAAGUUUAUGAUCAGUCUAAG
rnacentral:rRNA from 1 species